UGGCACUCCAGAUGUUUUGAACUACACCUCCCAUGAUGCUGUGCCAGCAAUAUGGGUGUUAGAGCAUUAUGGGGGAUGAAGUCCAAAACAUCUGGACUGCCA
rnacentral:miRNA from 1 species